rnacentral:rRNA from 1 species
CCUACGGGGGGCUGCAGUGGGGAAUAUUGGACAAUGGGGGGAACCCUGAUCCAGCCAUGCCGCGUGUGUGAAGAAGGCCCUCGGGUUGUAAAGCACUUUCAGUGAGGAAGAACGCCUGGUGGUUAAUACCCAUCAGGAAAGACAUCACUCACAGAAGAAGCACCGGCUAACUCCGUGCCAGCAGCCGCGGUAAUACGGAGGGUGCGAGCGUUAAUCGGAAUUACUGGGCGUAAAGCGCGCGUAGGUGGCUUGAUAAGCCGGUUGUGAAAGCCCCGGGCUCAACCUGGGAACGGCAUCCGGAACUGUCAAGCUAGAGAGCAGGAGAGGAAGGUAGAAUUCCCGGUGUAGCGGUGAAAUGCGUAGAGAUCGGGAGGAAUACCAGUGGCGAAGGCGGCCUUCUGGACUGACACUGACACUGAGGUGCGAAAGCGUGGGUAGCAAACAGGAUUAGAUACCCGUGUAGUC